AACGGAAAAAGCAAAAAAGGAAAAAGACAGAAAAAAAGAAGAAGAAGCAUAUAUUCAAAUUCUUUCAUCUUUUAAUAUUUUGUUUUUCAAUUAAUCUUCUAUUUCUCUGUUACCUGCUUCAACCUAACCCUAGCUUUGUGGAUAGAGAAAAAAAAAAUUCACAUUUUCGGACCCUUCAGAUCUCUGUAUAAAACACAGUUAAAAUCUUUUUUCUGUUUUUUUUUUUUUUUUUUUGUACUUUGUUUAAGGUAAUUUGAAAAAUCUAGGGUUUUGAAGAAAGCUUUUUAUUUGGAAUAAAAGGUUGACUUAGUUAGGGUUUUCUUUAAUGGAGCCUCGUGUGGGUAAUAAGUUUCGACUUGGUCGCAAAAUUGGCAGUGGAUCGUUUGGUGAGAUCUAUCUUGGUACUAAUAUACAGUCUAAUGAGGAGGUUGCAAUUAAGCUGGAAACUGUUAAGACAAAGCAUCCACAGUUGCUAUAUGAAUCGAAGUUGUAUAGAAUUCUUCAGGGAGGAACUGGAAUUCCAAAUGUGAGGUGGUUUGGCGUGGAGGGAGAUUACAAUGUUCUGGUCAUGGAUUUACUAGGACCCAGUCUUGAAGAUUUAUUUAAUUUCUGCAGCAGGAAGCUUUCCCUGAAGACAGUUUUAAUGCUUGCUGAUCAAAUGAUUAAUCGUGUUGAAUUUGUUCAUUCUAAAUCAUUUUUGCAUCGAGAUAUCAAGCCAGACAAUUUUCUUAUGGGCUUGGGAAGGCGUGCAAAUCAGGUCCCAUAUUCUUAUGUUUACAUAAUUGACUUUGGUCUAGCCAAGAAGUAUCGAGAUACUUCAUCUCACCAACACAUUCCUUACCGAGAGAAUAAAAACUUGACAGGCACUGCAAGAUAUGCCAGCAUGAACACUCACCUCGGUAUCGAACAAAGCAGGAGGGAUGAUUUGGAGUCUCUUGGAUAUGUUCUUAUGUACUUCCUCCGAGGAAGUCUUCCUUGGCAAGGACUGAAAGCAGGAAAUAAGAAGCAGAAGUAUGAGAAAAUUAGUGAAAAGAAGGUUUCAACAUCUAUUGAGGCUUUAUGUCGAGGUUAUCCUACUGAAUUUGCAUCAUAUUUCCAUUACUGUCGUUCUCUCCGCUUCGAGGAUAAACCAGAUUAUGCUUAUCUGAAGAGAAUAUUCCGUGACCUCUUCAUCCGUGAAGGCUUUCAGUUUGAUUAUGUUUUUGAUUGGACUAUAUUGAAGUAUCAGCAAUCGCACGUUGCAGCUCCUCCUUCACGGCCUCUUGGCCCUGGUGCCGGAACCAGCUCAGGCAUGCCUCCAAUUGUUCCCAAUGCAGAAAGACAGACAGGUGAAGAAGAAGGAAGGCAAUCAGCAGAUCCUUCUCGGAGGAGAAGUUCUGGGCCACUUAUAAGUGCUGGAAGGCAGACGAGUCCUAUUGGAAAUGAUUCCAUGAGCAGGGAUGCUAUGUUUUCAAGCUCCACUUUUAUGGGAAGAUCUAGUGGGUCUUUGAGGCGAGAUCUAGUCUCUGGGAGCCGGGAGACUUUCACAAUGGGGAAUGACUCCGACCCUACACAUUCUCGCACACCUGAGGCAAGUCCAGCGACCAUGCACACGAUAUCAGGUGGACAUAGAAGCUCUCCACUUGGUGGAUCGUCUGAUCCUAGAUAUGCCUCAUCUGGCAGGAAUGCUUCUGGCAUAAGGAACUAUGAAUCCACGCUCAGAGGAAUUGAGACUCUACAUUUUGACGAUGAAGAGAGGGCUCAUUGAUUGCUGACCCUUUCACUUGUAAAUUCCUUUUACUUGUGUGGUAGACUUCAGAUUAGAAUUGAGACCCUGAAAGUUGAUAUUUGUUUGGAUUUGUGGGUUGGAAAUUAGUGAACUAUCAGUUAUUCAAGUUGGCAAAAGAUCUAUAGCAAAUAAAUAGAUCCAGAUGGUGCCAAUGCAGGAGAUGAGGUGCUGUUAAUACGAACUCCGACAUGGUGCAUGACUUUAUAAAUCUAGGCAAUGCAUGCAGCAUUGUCUAUAAUCAUUCAACUCUGUCCAACUGUUGGGGAUUAGUUAAACUGUACAUUGGCCGUUGUAAUACUAAAUUUCCCCAUAGUCUACAGUAUAUCGCGUAAUGAUCUGCCAAUUUCGAUGUAUUGAGGUUCCAGAAAGCAUGGUCCAGCUGGUUAUGCACAUUACGGAGAUAUUUUGCCUGUUGCCAACUAUUACUAAUCCUUGCAUUGCGUAACCGUAGUGAAAAUACUAUAUAUAAGUAAAAAGGAUAUUUCUCUUGUAACCGAGAAUAAAACCUUUAGUGGUAGUUGGGAAGAAAUAGCGAUGUAUUCUUCUUGUAGAGCAUCUGGGUCCCUUUGCUAGUGGGUUUUCUGUUUUAUUUAUUCAUCACAAAUCAUCACAUAGAAACUUAUAACGCUCACAAGUGUUAAAUGUAAGGAAGAAACAGAAAAGGGUUUCAACUAUGAGUAUUCUCAUUCCAUAUGUUUUCCUUUAUAAAUAAAGUAUACUCUUUUGUUAAUCUAAUAUAUGAGGUGUGUAGAAA